UGAUGGUCCAGCUACCGUGGAUAACCUACU
rnacentral:piRNA from 1 species